rnacentral:rRNA from 1 species
GACGAACGCUGGCGGCGUGCCUAAUACAUGCAAGUUGAGCGCUGAAGGUUGGUACUUGUACCAACUGGAUGAGCAGCGCACGGGUGAGUAACGCGUGGGGAAUCUGCCUUUGAGCGGGGGACAACAUUUGGAAACGAAUGCUAAUACCGCAUAAAACUUUAAACACAAGUUUUAAGUUUGAAAGAUGCAAUUGCAUCACUCAAAGAUGAUCCCGCGUUGUAUUAGCUAGUUGGUGAGGUAAAGGCUCACCAAGGCGAUGAUACAUAGCCGACCUGAGAGGGUGAUCGGCCACAUUGGGACUGAGACACGGCCCAAACGCCUACGGGAGGCAGCAGUAGGGAAUCUUCGGCAAUGGACGAAAGUCUGACCGAGCAACGCCGCGUGAGUGAAGAAGGGUGUCGGAUCGUAAAACUCUGUUGGUAGAGAAGAACGUUGGUGAGAGUGGAAAGCUCAUCAAGUGACGGUAACUACCCAGAAAGGGACGGCUAACUACGUG